AUACGGAGGGGGCUAGCGUUGUUCGGAAUUACUGGGCGUAAAGCGCGUGUAGGCGGAUCGUUAAGUCAGGGGUGAAAGCCCGGGGCUCAACCCCGGAACUGCCCUUGAUACUGGCGAUCUAGAGUCCGGAAGAGGUGGGCGGAAUUCCCGGUGUAGAGGUGAAAUUCGUAGAUAUCGGGAGGAACACCAGUGGCGAAGGCGGCUUACUGGUCCGGUACUGACGCUGAGACGCGAAAGCGUGGGGAGCAAACAGGAUUAGAAACCCUAGUAGUCC
rnacentral:rRNA from 1 species